GGCUAAUUGUUUGUAUUUUUAGUAGGGACAGGGUUUCACUAUGUUGGUCAGGGCUCGUCUCGAAUUCCUGACCUAAGGUGAUCCACCCGCCUCUGCCUCCCAAAGUGCUGGGAUUACAGGCAUGAGCCACCACACCUGGCCCGAGAUGAUGCUUUUAAAGUUUUGAGAGGAAAACCACACGAAUCUGGGUUUCCUUAUCACUAAUCUGGGUUUUUGAGAGGAAGACCACAGAGUUCCUAAGAAUAACUAGAAUGUGCUGGGAAUGUAACAACUUGCGACAGGGAGAGACCCGUACAACAGCCUGCCGUACAACAGCCUGAGCUCUGUUUCAGUCCCCCACAGGAAGCAGGAUAUCCUUCACUACUUCUACGAGGGCAGUCAUGUUACCCUGGGGUAUAAAAACUGGGGUGGGCGGCUUUCCAGGAUUCUUCAUCUGUGUUGCAAGUGGUAUAUGCACAGAUGACAUUCUGUCCACUCCAGGCAGCUAUCCUGAGGCUUGUGAAACCAGCUCCUAACCAUCCUAGAUUUCUGUUGUCCUUUGCUGCCUAUGUAUAAAUAAUAAACCACUUCAUG
rnacentral:lncRNA from 10 species